GGUUAAGUUAGAAAGGGCGCACGGUGGAUGCCUUGGCACUAGGAGCCGAAGAAGGACGGGACUAACUCCGAUAUGCUCCGGGGAGCUGUAAGUAAGCGUGGAUCCGGAGAUUUCCGAAUGGGGAAACCCUCUGUCCGUAAUGGGACAGAAUCCCUGCCUGAAUACAUAGGGCAGGAGAAGGCAGACCCGGGGAACUGAAACAUCUAAGUACCCGGAGGAAGAGAAAGCAAACGCGAUUCCCUGAGUAGCGGCGAGCGAAACGGG
rfam:Bacillaceae bacterium MTCC 8252 Contig69, whole genome shotgun sequence.